GACAGAGGUCCCGAGCGUUAGGCGGAAUCACUGGGCUUAAAGCGUGUGUAGGCGGAGUGCUAAGUACCUUGUGAAAUCCCACGGCUCAACCGUGGAACUGCUCGGUAUACUGGUUCUCUUGAGCCACCUAGGGGCAACCGGAACAAACGGUGGAGCGGUGAAAUGCGUAGAUAUCGUAAGGAAGACCAGUGGCGAAGGCGGGUCUCUGGACAGUUCCUGACACUGAGACACGAAGGCCAGGGGAGCAAACGGG
rnacentral:rRNA from 1 species